rnacentral:rRNA from 1 species
AGCAGUCGCCGCGGUAAUACGUAGGUGGCGAGCGUUGUCCGGAAUUAUUGGGCGUAAAGGGAGCGCAGGCGGACAUAUAAGUCCAUCUUAAAAGUGCGGGGCUCAACCCCGUGAGGGGAUGGAAACUGUAUGCCUUGAGUGCAGGAGAGGAAAGCGGAAUUCCCAGUGUAGCGGUGAAAUGCGUAGAUAUUGGGAGGAACACCAGUGGCGAAGGCGGCUUUCUGGACUGUAACUGACGCUGAGGCUCGAAAGCCAGGGGAGCGAACGGGAUUAGAUACCCCUGUAGUCCCUGUCUCUUAUACA